UACGGAGGGUGCAAGCGUUGUCCGGAUUUAUUGGGGUUAAAGGGUGCGUAGGCGGUCUGUUAAGUGCACGCUGGAAAGCUCCGGGCUCAACUCGGAAAUUGCUCUGCAUACUGGCAGGCUGGAGGGACGCAGAGGUCUGUGGAAUUCCUGGUGUAACGGUGAAAUGUGUUGAUAUCAGGAGGAACACCCAUGGCGAAGGCAGCAGACUGGGCGUUUCCUGACGCUGAGGCGCGAAAGCGUGGGUAGCAAACAGG
rnacentral:rRNA from 1 species